rnacentral:rRNA from 1 species
UACGGAGGGAGCUAGCGUUGUUCGGAAUUACUGGGCGUAAAGCGUGCGCAGGCGGUGAUGUAAGACCGAUGUGAAAUCCCCGGGCUUAACCUGGGAACUGCAUUGGUGACUGCAUUGCUGGAGUAUGGCAGAGGGGGGUGGAAUUCCACGUGUAGCAGUGAAAUGCGUAGAGAUGUGGAGGAACACCGAUGGCGAAGGCAGCCCCCUGGGCCAAUACUGACGCUCAUGCACGAAAGCGUGGGGAGCAAACAGG